UGAGGAAUAUUGGGCAAUGCCCGCAAGGGUGACCCAGCAACGCCGCGUGGAGGAUGAAUGUCGUAAGAUUGUAAACUCCUGUUAGAGGGGAAGAAUAGUACCGGUUGGACCGGUAUAUGACUGUACCCUCAGAGAAAGCCCCGGCUAACUACGUGCCAGCAGCCGCGGUAAUACGUAGGGGGCAAGCGUUGUCCGGAUUUACUGGGUGUAAAGGGCGCGCAGGCGGGAUAAAAAGUCAGUGGUGAAAUCCUACAGCUUAACUGUAGAACUGCCUUUGAUACUUUUAUUCUUGAGUUCGGGAGAGAGAGACGGAAUUCCAGGUGUAAUGGUGAAAUACGUAGAUAUCUGGAAGAACACCAGUUGCGAAGGCGGUCUCUUGAUCCGACACUGACGCUGAGGCGCGAAAGCGUGGGGAGCAAACA
rnacentral:rRNA from 1 species